rnacentral:pre_miRNA from 1 species
ACAGACACCUGGGGACUUAUUAAAAUGCUGGUUCAGGUGAAGUGGGUGGGAGGGUGGCCCUGAGAGUCUGCAUUUCUAAUAAGUUCCCAGGAGAUGCUGCU